UACGUAGGGUGCGAGCGUUAAUCGGAAUUACUGGGCGUAAAGCGUGCGCAGGCGGGCUUUUAAGCCAGACGUGAAAUCCCCGGGCUUAACCUGGGAAUGGCGUUUGGGACUGGGAGUCUGGAGUGCGGCAGAGGAGACUGGAAUUCCUGGUGUAGCAGUGAAAUGCGUAGAUAUCAGGAGGAACACCGAUGGCGAAGGCAGCUCGCUGGGACGGUACUGACGCUGAGACGCGAAAGCGUGGGGGAGCGAACAGG
rnacentral:rRNA from 1 species